rnacentral:lncRNA from 1 species
GAAUGGAGUUUCUGAAUGUCUGUCGAAUGGCUCAGAAGUGAAUCUGGAAUUAGAUCAAGCACAGAAAGAUCUCAUGGGUCAGGGAAAUGUUUCUCUGGAGCAGAUUAAAGUGGAGGAUCAGGUUAAAGGCCUAACUGAGGAGGGAAAGGGGAGAUUUUUAAUGGGUGAUGGAUUGUGGGCUAGUACCGCUUGUAAAAGUGAACUUGAAAAAGGUAACUGUGAUUUGCUAAAAGUAGCUCAGUGUAGUGAGAAGAGCAGCAGUUUAUUGGUUGGGAGUAGCUGUGUGUCUGGUAAGGAAGAAGGUGUCUCCAGCUCUUCUUAGUCUGUGGGGAAGACAGAAGGGGCCUUUCAGCCUGUGAUGGUUGAGAAUAGUGCAGUUGUCUCAGAGUUGGUUCUGGAUUCAACUAAAGCCCAGGAAGGGAAUGGUCCUAAGUCUGUGUCUGCUGGAGAGAAUGGCACCAUAACUAGGUUGCAUCCAGUUAGUGUCUUAGCAAAAUCCCAGAGACCAGACAAUUCUGGUGCUUGUAUUUUACCUGUUGCUCAUGUGUGGCUGGAAAAGGGUGUAGCAACUCUGUCUGAUCAGGGUGAUAUCCUAGCCAGGGGGCAAGGAGAGCAGAAAGAUAAUUUAAUUGUGUUACCUACUGAUGGUGUGGAAACUUGUAGCAAGAAGGAAAGGAUUCCUGAACUUGUGUGUGGCAAAGGGAAGGAAAAUGUUUCUAACCUUUUAUCUAAUGAGUCUAUGGGUUUGCCUGAAAGGGGAUUGUGUAGAAAUCUGCCUGAUGGGCCAAAGGUGAUCCUAAAUGUGAGUAAGACCCAGACAGAGUCUGUUGUUGCUCAGGGAAGUGUUCCUUUAGAGCAAGCCCUAGGUGAAGAGGGUAAGAGCAGAAUUUCUGUGAGGGGUGAAACGUUGCUUAGAGAAGCUGCUAAGGAAAGAAAUCCUCAUGGUAAUCUGUGCAAGCAGCUUGCUACAGCUAAAGGAUGUGAGAGUGAUUUAAUCAAGGAAGUUUCAGUUCCUAACAGCCAGACAUUUUCUGUUGUGAAUGGAUCCACUGACUUUCCUUUCGAAAGAUCCAGUGUGGGUAGCUCUGAGAAGGUCUCAGAUGGAGUAAGAGCUGUUAAGAAAGUUGAGCAGCCCUAUAACCGAGUGGCUGUGUGUGGCCAGCUUGUUGGGAAGACAAUGGUGUUGGGACAGGAAUGUCUCCAUUCUAAUUCGUUAAGUGAGCAGUCUGUGCUUCAGGGUCUGAGGACAGAUUUGGUUACUGGUGUUUUAAAGCAGAGCAGUUUUAUGGCUAAAUGCUUGAGGAUGCAGGGGAGAGCAAGCAAACUCUCACCCGCAGACUCCUUGGAUUUGUGUGGUAUCUCUUUAAGACAGAGUCCAGCCUUGGAAAUGAUAGCAGUUAAGGCUAUGGAAACUGGUGGACUGGCUCCUGUCUGUGGUAAUGCAAAUUACUUGCCUGGCUGGGAGGGGAAGGACUUGCUAAUAGCUGUUAGCACAGAGGGCCCACCCCAUCAGCCAGUGAAUUCUGUUAAGCAACAGAAAUCAGGGUUUGAUCCUGCAGGACAAGGAGGAAAGAGAAAACUGAAUUUUGCACAGGGAAGCCACAGGUUAACCCUAAAAUGCUCAAACUCCAAUGGUAUUGAGCCGAAGUUGUGGCAUGACAACCAUGAUUGUAGAUGGACACUUGCAAUAAAUUUGUUGUUAAUGCUAAUGGUGAUUUUUAUAAUGAAUGUGUUGCUAUUACCAAAAACUGUAAAAAUGUACAAUGUGCCUAAUCUUUUGGAGAAUCCCUUGAACAUGUUAAAAGGAAUACAUGAAAACACACUUUAUGUUAAAAGGCCUUGUUACAUUGGUGUUUCACAGUUAAUGCCUGUAAACAGUAUUGGAACUUUUCACAGGGGAAAAGACAUUCCAAACCUAAUGUGCUGUAUGAAAAGGAAGAACAGGAGUACUUGUGGCACCUUAGAGACUAACAAAUUUAUUAGAGCAUAAGCUUUCGUGGA